GUGCCGUAAACUAAUGAGUAAGGAAAUACGUGUUCGGCAAUGCUAACGCGUUGCUGAGAGCUUACUUGACAUGUUCCGCAUGUCACAGCACUAAUUUUUAAUCGGGGUACAGGCUGUCCUCUGGAGCUGCUUGACUACUUUUCAAGCGGCUUGAGCGAUUCGCAGUUUGCCCU